AAAACCCAUUUGACUUUUAAGACUUUUUCUCACACCCAUAUCUAAAUCUUAAUUAGUGAGACCCCCUUAUUAAGAUAGGAUAAGACACAAUUACCCUUAACAGCAGUUAUUAAAAUAAAUCAAAUAUUUAAUAAUAAUAAAUUUAUAUAACCGUUUCCUUUUUUGUAGUGGGACGUGAUAUCCUCAACAUAAUCUUCAGCCGAUUUUCAGCCUUUUUUGCCACGAUUGGUUUCUUCUGUUCCGGCCAAGUCUCUCAAUUUUUUCCUCUCCGGCACUCUCGCUCUUGCUUUCUCCUUCACCGGAGUGGGAUUUGCUGAGGGAUUAGUUGGUGUGAAUAAGCCAGAAUUGCUACCCAAACAGUUCACUACUGUAAUUGAUGUUGCUGGAUUCCUCUCCGAUGGCCAGG